rnacentral:tRNA from 1 species
GGUUAUGGCUCUGUGGCAGAGCGCUUGCCUAGCAUGUGUGAGGCACUGGGUUCAAACCUCAGCACCA